rnacentral:rRNA from 1 species
CCGGUUGAUCCUGCCGGAGGCUACUGCUAUUGGAGUUCGAUUAAGCCAUGCGAGUCUAAGGGAUCUUCGGAUCCCUGGCGUAAUGCUCAGUAACACGUGGAUAAUCUACCCUCAGGUGGGGCAUAAACCCGGGAAACUGGGGCCAAUUCCCCAUAGAUACAGAUGGCUGGAAUGCUUCUGUAUUCAAAGCUCCGGCGCCUGAGGAUGGGUCUGCGGCCUAUCAGGUUGUAGUCAGGGUCAAGACCUGACUAGCCAGCGACGGGUAUGGGGUGUGAGAGCACUUGCCCAGAGAUGGUUUCUGAGACACGAAACCAGGCCCUACGGGGCGCAGCAGGCGCGAAAACUUCGCAAUGCGGGAAACCGUGACGAGGGAACUCCAAGUGUCUAUGCAUUGCAUAGACUGUUUUUUAGCCUAAAUAGCUAUUAGAGUAAGGGGUGGGCAAGACCGGUGCCAGCCGCCGCGGUAACACCGGCACCUCGAGUGGUAGCCACUAUUAUUGGGCCUAAAGCGUUCGUAGCCGGUUUGGUAAAUUCUUGGGUAAAUCGUACCGCUUAACGGUGCGGAUUCCGGGGACACUACCAGACUUGAGACCGGGGGAGAUCAGAGGUACUUGCGGGGGAGCGGUGAAAUGUUGUAAUCCCGCAGGGACCACCAGUGGCGAAGGCGUCUGAUCAGAACGGCUCUGACGGUGAGGAACGAAACCCUGGGGCGCAAACGGGAUUAGAUACCCCGGUAGUCCAGGGCGUAAACGCUGCUGACUUGGUGUUGGGGAUCCUACGAGGAUGUCCAGUGCUGGCGCGAAGGUAUUAAGUCAGCCGCCUGGGGAGUACGGUCGCAAGACUGAAACUUAAAGGAAUUGGCGGGGGAGCACUGCAACGUGUGGAGCGUGCGGUUUAAUUGGAUCAACGCCGGG